rnacentral:lncRNA from 1 species
CAGGAACAGAGCCUUGUCGAACCCCUCCGCCAACAGGCACGCCACACUUCAUCAGGCAGUUUUUCUCAGGGAUUCUGAGAAAAUUCUCAGGGAUUCUGAGAAGAUUCAAACAGAACUUUGCUGUUUCUUAACACCUCUAGCUGCAGAUCUGUAUAUAUUACUGCAGAAAUAUCCCACUGGGAAAAGGCUGCAUAAGUUCUGGCCACUGUGUAAAUCUCACACUGAAGACUCACUUGGGAAGAAGAAAAGAUGUUGUGCUGGCUUCAAGUGAAGGAUGCCAUCUAUAUUGUCUUAUUCUUUCCAAGGUCAGACAAGCAUCCUUCCAAAA